rnacentral:rRNA from 1 species
AUGCUAGUCGAGUGGCUCAGCCAAUACGAGCCACGGCAUACAGCUCAGUAACACGUGGCUAAUCUGCCCUUAGGACGAGAACAACCCCGGGAAACUGGGGCUAACUCUCGAUAGGCGAAGAACUCUGGAAUGAGUCUUCACCUAAAUAGUUCAGCGUUACGCUCGUUGAACCGCCUAAGGAUGAGGCCGCGACCGAUCAGGUUGUUGGUGAGGUAAUGGCUCACCAAGCCUUUUACCGGUGCGGGCCGUGAGAGCGGGAGCCCGGAGAUGGGCACUGAGACAAGGGCCCAGGCCCUACGGGGCGCAGCAGUCGCGAAAACUUUGCAAUACACGAAAGUGUGACAGGGCUAUCCCGAGUGCCAUCCGCUGAGGAAGGCUUUUACCCAGUCUAGAACGCCGGGGGAAUAACGGAGGGGCA